AUCCGAGCUUGCUCAACUCAGGUAUAAAGCUUCUGCCAAAAAGGCCCAAAUUUGCCAGCAAGAAGUAAUCUUCCUGGGCUAUUCCCUUAGGGGUGGUAAACGAUGGCUCACUGAGCCCAGAAAACAAACUGUUGUGCAGAUACCACUCCCAUCUAACAGAAGGGCAGAUGAAGAGGCUAAAUUGGCAGCCCUAAAUGGAGUAACCACGUUAACACUUUCCACACCGGGGGAACAUAAGUCAGGAGAUUUAACUACUGUCGGAGCACCCUGACAACUUAACAUCUAAGGACACUGACACUGAACUCCUCGACUUCACUGAGCCCAGCCUGCAAUUUCAGAAAGCCCUACACUAUGUUAAAAAUGUACAUCAACUCACUCACCUUGGUUCAAAGAAACUGCAGGCAUUCCUGAAAGAUCAAGAACAGAGUUUUCCACUAACUGACUCACAGCGAAAGGAAAUAGCUGAACGGGUAACAAAAGCCUGUUGGGUCUGUCAAUUGGUUAAUGCUUACCCUUCCAAGCUUCCUGCAGGAAAGCGCCUACGAGGAACCAGACCAAGACAAUUCUAAGAAAUGGACUUUACUGAAAUUAAGCCAGCAAGGUAUGGACUUAAAUAUCUCCUAGUCUUUGUAGAUACAUUUUCAGGAUGGAUUGAAGCCUUCCCCACAAAAAAAGAAAUGUCGCAAAUGGUGGUCAAGAAGAUCCUGGAAGAUAUUUUUCCAAGAUACGGCCUACCUAAGGUAAAU
rnacentral:lncRNA from 1 species